rnacentral:rRNA from 1 species
GAAUCUUGGACGAUGGGCGCAAGCCUGAUCCAGCCAUGCCGCGUGGGUGAAGAAGGCCCUAGGGUUGUAAAGCCCUUUCGCCGGUGAAGAUAAUGACGGUAACCGGUAAAGAAGCCCCGGCUAACUUCGUGCCAGCAGCCGCGGUAAUACGAAGGGGGCUAGCGUUGUUCGGAAUCACUGGGCGUAAAGCGCACGUAGGCGGAUGGUUAAGGCAGGGGUGAAAGCCCGGAGCUCAACUCCGGAAUUGCCCUUGAUACUGGCCGUCUUGAGACCGGGAGAGGAGAGUGGAAUUCCCAGUGUAGAGGUGAAAUUCGUAGAUAUUGGGAAGAACACCAGUGGCGAAGGCGGCUCUCUGGCCCGGUUCUGACGCUGAGGUGCGAAAGCGUGGGGAGCAAACAGG